rnacentral:tRNA from 1 species
AGCCCAGUGGUGUAGUGGCCAAGCAUUUGGGGCCCUGAACCCCGAGACCACGGUUCGAAUCCGUGCUGGGCUA